rnacentral:rRNA from 1 species
CAACGUGGGGAACCUGCCCCAUAGUCUGGGAUACCACUUGGAAACAGGUGCUAAUACCGGAUAAGAAAGCAGAUCGCAUGAUCAGCUUUUAAAAGGCGGCGUAAGCUGUCGCUAUGGGAUGGCCCCGCGGUGCAUUAGUUAGUUGGUAAGGUAAAGGCUUACCAAGGCGAUGAUGCAUAGCCGAGUUGAGAGACUGAUCGGCCACAUUGGGACUGAGACACGGCCCAAACUCCUACGGGAGGCAGCAGCC